rnacentral:rRNA from 1 species
UACGUAGGGGGCUAGCGUUGUCCGGAAUCAUUGGGCGUAAAGAGCGUGUAGGCGGCCCGGUAAGUCCGCUGUAAAAGUCAAAGGCUCAACCUUGAAUGUCAGUGGAUACUGCCGGGCUAGAGUCCGGAAGAGGCGAGUGGAACUCCUGGUGUAGCGGUGGAAUGCGCAGAUAUCAGGAAGAACACCAACGGCGAAGGCAGCUCGCUGGGACGGUACUGACGCUGAGACGCGAAAGCGUGGGGAGCAAACAGG